rnacentral:misc_RNA from 1 species
UUUCCGUAGGUGAACCUGCGGAAGGAUCAUUCAUAAUAAAGUGUUCUAUGGCACUUUUUAAAAAUCCAUCUCCACCUUGUGUGCAAUGUUAGAUCUCGUCAAUCUUGGCGAGAUUUUUAUACAUCAACUCAUUCUUUAACUAAUUUGUCUGAAAAAUAUUAUGAAUACUUAAUUCAAAAUACAACUUUCAACAACGGAUCUCUUGGCUCUC